GAUGAACGCUAGCUACAGGCUUAACACAUGCAAGUCGAGGGGUAACGAGAGGAAAGCUUGCUUUCCUUGUCGACGACCGGCGCACGGGUGAGUAACGCGUAUCCAACCUGCCCCCAACUAGGGAAUAACCUUGCGAAAGUAAGACUAAUACCCUAUAAUUUCCUCAGAUGCCACCUGACGAGGAAUAAAGAUUUAUCGGUUGUGGAUGGGGAUGCGUCUGAUUAGCUUGUUGGCGGGGUAACGGCCCACCAAGGCAACGAUCAGUAGGGGUUCAGAGAGGAAGGUCCCCCACAUUGGAACUGAGACACGGUCCAAACUCCUACGGGAGGCAGCAGUGAGGAAUAUUGGUCAAUGGGCGGAAGCCUGAACCAGCCAAGUAGCGUGCAGGAUGACGGCCCUAUGGGUUGUAAACUGCUUUUAUACAGGAAUAAAGUUAGCCACGUGUGGUUAUUUGUAGGUACUGUAUGAAUAAGGACCGGCUAAUUCCGUGCCAGCAGCAGCCGCCG
rnacentral:rRNA from 1 species